AUUGAACGCUAGCGGGAGGCCUUACACAUGCAAGUCGAACGGCAGCACGGACUUCGGUCUGGUGGCGAGUGGCGAACGGGUGAGUAAUGUAUCGGAACGUGCCCAGUAGCGGGGGAUAACUACGCGAAAGCGUAGCUAAUACCGCAUACGCCCUACGGGGGAAAGCAGGGGAUCGCAAGACCUUGCACUAUUGGAGCGGCCGAUAUCGGAUUAGCUAGUUGGUGGGGUAACGGCUCACCAAGGCGACGAUCCGUAGCUGGUUUGAGAGGACGACCAGCCACACUGGGACUGAGACACGGCCCAGACUCCUACGGGAGGCAGCAGUGGGGAAUUUUGGACAAUGGGGGAAACCCUGAUCCAGCCAUCCCGCGUGUGCGAUGAAGGCCUUCGGGUUGUAAAGCACUUUUGGCAGGAAAGAAACGUCGCGGGUUAAUACCUCGCGAAACUGACGGUACCUGCAGAAUAAGCACCGGCUAACUACGUG
rnacentral:rRNA from 1 species